AAGGGAUGAUCUUUUAGAUGACGAGUCUGAAUACGUCGGCGUGAGGUUUCCUCUCGUCGAUCUUCCUUGAUGAUACAUCUUUUAAAUACCAUUCAUGCAUAUCUGACU
rnacentral:snoRNA from 1 species